GAAUUAGCAUAGGUUUCCUCCGCAACUGAUGCAUCUUCUAACCAGGCUGGGAACACAACACGCGCACACGCGCACACACACACGCACGCACCCACCCCACCCGGCUGCCGGACGCAAGCGUAAGUCAAGGACUUGCAUGCUAGAAUCAGACAGAAAAUCCAGAAAAGCCACGUUAUUUAACAGAACCCUACAAGGUCAGCUUUGAGUCAAAGCAGACCACAUUUCUCUCGGCCCUCGCGAGUGAGGUCGCCAAAUACUCGACGCCUCAAGAGCGAGCCGAGGAGGCAGAGGCCGACCAAGCCGGCCUCUCGGCAGCCCCGCCCGGCGCCCCGCGGAGAACGCCCGGGUGCGGCUCGAGGGAAGUUGUGUCAAGUCCCACGCGCGGCCCGCGGAGAACCCAGGGGCGGCCCGCGCGCGUCGGCCUAGCGGGGAGGGCUGCUCCGGGACACGGUGCGGCGGCCGCGGGCGAGUUGGACGCGCUGGCAGAGCCGGGCCGAAGGCGGCGGGCGUCUCCGGGCAGCCAUGUUCGCGGCGCCCGCCCGCGCAGCAGGACGGAGCCCUGACAGCAAUGUUUGCUACGGCCUCCCUCUGCAGUCAGCCUAAAGCAAGGAGCUGGAGGUAGAUGAGGCAAAGGUAAAGGAGACCAAAACAGUAUUUUAAAGAAAAAAUCAUUUAUCUUCAAAUAGGCUCCAAACCUAAGAUGGUGUAUACUGUUAGAGGACAAGAACCUGCUUCUAGCCAUCUUUGCGUCUCCAGGACCUGACUUGUGACCAUUCAAUAAGAGUUUGAUAGAUGGACAGACUAAUGAAUAGAUGAAGAUGAUUAGAAGCCAAAAUUUCUGAAUCUUCCUAGCACCCAGAACAUGGCUUAACAUCAAGGAAAUGCUCACUAAAUACUGUCAUAAUGGAAUGAAU
rnacentral:lncRNA from 10 species